rnacentral:misc_RNA from 1 species
CAGCACUGUCUUUUUUCUCUCUUCUGCAUAUUCCUUACGAUUCACGCUCCCCGUGAAUCGAUAUCCUUUCACCUACUACUCACUCUCUCUGUUUCCCUUCAACUCUUCCCAUAGAUCCAGUCAAAAUUCAAACCCUAAACCCCGGUCAAACGACGACGUUUGAUUCAUCGUCGAUCCAGGUUUUUGAUCCGAAAAUCCAAGCUGGAGCAGUUGAAGACAAUUGGUAGGGAGCUCGCAAUGGGCUCCCAAGGAGGAUUUGGACAGUCAAAAGAGUUUCUUGACCUAAUUAAAUCAAUUGGAGAAGCCCGAUCUAAAGCUGAAGAAGAUCGAAUCGUGAUUAACGAGAUCGAAAUUCUCAAGAAACGAAUCAUUGAGCCUGAUAUACCUAAAAGGAAGAUGAAAGAGUAUAUAAUGAGAUCAGUGUAUGUUGAAAUGUUAGGACACGAUGCGUCAUUUGGGUAUAUACAUGCUGUCAAAAUGACGCAUGAUGAUAAUUUACAUCUUAAGCGUACUGGGUAUUUAGCCGUCACACUUUUUUUGAAUGAAGAUCAUGAUUUGAUUAUCUUGAUUGUGAAUACUAUUCAGAAAGACUUGAAAUCAGAUAAUUAUUUGGUAGUUUGUGCUGCAUUGAAUGCUGUUUGUAAGUUGAUUAAUGAGGAGACGAUUCCAGCUGUGUUGCCUCAGGUGGUGGAUUUGUUGGGGCAUUCAAAAGAAGCUGUUAGGAAAAAGGCUGUUAUGGCACUUCACCGGUUUCAUCAGAAAUCACCAUCUUCUGUUAGCCAUCUUGUCUCCAAUUUUAGAAAGAGGCUAUGUGACAAUGAUCCUGGUGUUAUGGGCUCUACACUAUGCCCUCUUUAUGAUCUUAUCUCAGAGGAUGUUAAUUCUUACAAGGAUUUGGUGGUCAGCUUUGUAAGCAUUCUAAAACAAGUAGCAGAGCGGAGAUUGCCCAAGAGUUAUGAUUAUCAUCAGAUG